CCUACGGGAGGCAGCAGUGAGGACUAUUGGUCAAUGGACGAGAGUCUGAACCAGCCAAGUAGCGUGAAGGAUGACUGCCCUAUGGGUUGUAAACUUCUUUUAUAUGGGAAUAAAAUGUUCCACGUGUGGGAUUUUGUAUGUACCAUAUGAAUAAGGAUCGGCUAACUCCGUGCCAGCAGCCGCGGUAAUACGGAGGAUCCGAGCGUUAUCCGGAUUUUUUGGGUUUAAAGGGAGCGUAGGUGGAUUGUUAAGUCAGUUGUGAAAGUUUGCGGCGUAACCGUAAAAUUGCAGUUGAAACUGGCAGUCUUGAGUACAGUAGAGGUGGGCGGAAUUCGUGGUGUAGCGGUGAAAUGCUUAGAUAUCACGAAGAACUCCGAUUGCGAAGGCAGCUCACUGGACUGCAACUGACACUGAGGCUCGAAAGUGUGGGUAUCAAACAGGAUUAGAUACCCCAGUAGUC
rnacentral:rRNA from 1 species